rnacentral:rRNA from 1 species
UACAGAGGGGGCAAGCGUUGUUCGGAAUUACUGGGCGUAAAGGGCGCGUAGGCGGCCUUCUAAGUCGAACGUGAAAUCCCCGGGCUCAACCCGGGAACUGCGUCCGAUACUGGAAGGCUUGAAUUCGGGAGAGGGAUGCAGAAUUCCAGGUGUAGCGGUGAAAUGCGUAGAUAUCUGGAGGAAUACCGGUGGCGAAGGCGGCAUCCUGGACCGACAUUGACGCUGAACGGCGAAAGCUAGGGGAGCAAACGGG